rnacentral:lncRNA from 1 species
GACAUAGAAAGCGGGUUUCGGGUAUCCAUUCGUGUUUCGGGUAUCCACGGGUUUGGUUUUGGGGAGGGGUUAUCACCCGAAUCGGUGUUCGGUUCGGUUUCGGGUUCGGGUGCACAUAGACUUCACCCGAUCCGAACCCGCCCUGUUGCCAUUCUUAAAAGCAAGUCAUUCAGGCUUCCAACCAAAUAUAUAGCCCCUAGGAGCUAGAAGCUGUUCUUUCAGGUCCGUCCCUACUUCAGGUCGAGUCCAGUUUUCGACAUGAUUUUGUGCUACCAAAAGAAAACAGUACUGCUAGUGCCCGAACGUUCGGCGCCAGUAGUGCGUUCGGACGCCGAGCUCCUGACCCGCACCAUACGGAGAAAAAAACCAUCGCCUCCAACCAACUUGCCCCGCGCGGGGGACUGCCUUUCGUUCGCUCCCCGCGCAAGGAGCCCGUCUCCACCCUGCCUCACCCCUCACCUCGUCGCCCCUAGCACAUCCGCCCGCUUACAACUCGUCCUCACAGAACCGACCCUCGUCCCGCGCUCGCACAGAGAAGAAAGACGACCCCCACGUGCAUAGAUCUGCCGUCCACAACCUCGUCAAUCUAGCACCUCUGACCCUACCACUAGCUCAUCACCAUAGUCUGCCCUCUAGCUGCAACAAUGAAAAAAGACUAUUGCAAACGUCGAAGGAUAUCUAAAAUACAAAAAAAAGAAAAAAACUGCUAAAACAAACGGAAAAAAGCUAUUGAAAUAUUAAAAAAAACAUCUAAUGCAACGAACAAAAAUAUGAAGUGCAACGUCAAAAAAAAGUCUACUGCAACAUUCAGAAACAUCUAGUGCAAUAUUAGGGGAAAAUCUGCUACAACAUUGAGAAAAAGCUAUUACAACAUCUCAAGCACUACUAAUGCAACAUCAGAAGAAAAAACGGUUGUUGCAACAACAAAAUCUACUGCAAUAUCGGGAGAGAAUCUGCUACAACAAUGAGAAAAAACUAUUACAACAUCUCAAGCACCACUAAUGUAACAUCAGAAAAAACGCCCGUUGCAACAAAAAAAUCUACUACAACAUCGGGGGAGAAUCUGCUGCAACAACGUCAAAAGCAAAAUGAAACUUCUAAAGAACUACUUUGCAACAUCAAAGAAAUGCUUGUUGCAACAACAAAAAAAGGUACCAUUAUAACAUUCAACAUCAUCUAUUGCAAUAUUGAAAAUGAAUCAUUGCAAAAACAACGACGAGAUCUGACUCGCCGGAACACUAGCUACCACCAAACCCUUAGAUCCAAAAGGGGAAGAAGAGGAGGAGGAGGAGGAGAUGCAGGAUGAGGGAGUAGAUCUAGAUCCAAUGGAAAAAGGAAGGGGAGAAAGACCUAAGAUCUAGAUCUCUCUCUACCUACCUCGUCUGAGCCACACAUGGAUGUUACAGCGCACGAAGAUGAGAGAGCGAUGAGGGAGGGGAGGUGCGCGGGUUCACUGAAAGCCGCCCGCCAUGGCCCCCACUCCGAUGGCCAUGGAUGUCUCGGGGAAGAAGGGGGAGAGAGGCCUCAGAUCUAGAUCCCUCUCCACCUACCUUGUCGGAACCACGUCGUCGUCCUCAUCUCGAGAUACAUGGAGGUUACAACGCGCGAGGAUGAGAGAGUAGGGAGAGAGGGGAGGUGUGCGGGCUCAUUGGAAGCUGCUCGCCAUCACCCCCACUCCGGUGGCCAUGGACGUCGUGGGACAAGGAGGUAGGAAGCGAGGGACAGCUCGCUGGAGAUGCGGCAGGAGGCGCGGUCGUGUGGGCGUGGGCAGCAGGAGCGACGGAGCCAGCAAGUGCGAGAAAAGAGUAGACGCGGGGGUCACAGGAUAAGGAGCCAAGGGUGUGGCGCUUGUGGCUCGAUCGAGUCGUGCGGGUAAUAUAGAUCAAUGAGGAGUCAAUCUGCCUGGGUGGACGGCUGCAUCAUAUGUCUUGCCGCCGGGAUCCAUU